UACGAAGGGAGCUAGCGUUGUUCGGAAUCACUGGGCGUAAAGCGCACGUAGGCGGACGUGUCAGUCAGGGGUGAAAGUCCCGGAGCUCAACUUCGGAACUGCCUUUGAUACAGCACGUCUUGAGUCCGGAAGAGGUGGGUGGAAUUCCUAGUGUAGAGGUGAAAUUCGUAGAUAUUAGGAAGAACACCGGUGGCGAAGGCGCCCACUGGUCCGGUACUGACGCUGAGGUGCGAAAGCGUGGGGAGCAAACAGGG
rnacentral:rRNA from 1 species